rnacentral:rRNA from 1 species
UACGAAGGUGGCAAGCGUUGUUCGGAUUCACUGGGCGUACAGGGUGUGUAGGCGGUUUGGUAAGCCUUCUGUUAAAGCUUCGGGCCCAACCCGGAAAGCGCAGAGGGUACUGCCAGGCUAGAGGACGGGAGAGGAGCGCGGAAUUCCCGGUGUAGCGGUGAAAUGCGUAGAGAUCGGGAGGAAGGCCGGUGGCGAAGGCGGCGCUCUGGACAGGAACUGACACUGAACUACGAAAGCGUGGGGAGCAAACAGG